ACAGUCGGAAAUGUGGAAGAUGCGCCAUGUGCAUCCCUUGAGAACAUGAGCUCAGCCAGUGGCAUGGCCCAAUUUAGCCCAAGUUGGGACAGUUAAGCCAAGACAUGUGGCCUGGAAAAAGGUGUUGAAGUGCGCAGGAAGCUGAGGCAAACAAAUAAAUAAACGAACGACAGCACUAGCAGCAGCAACCGAAUGCCACCCAAGAGACCCAUGGCCCUUUUAGAGCUUUCAUCCCACUCAGGUGUCAACACAUAUGGACGACGGCAGAUGUCAAUGUGAAGAUCCUAGAGAAAUGACGAAAAACAGCAGUAUAUUUAAAAUCUGCCUGUUGAGACCAAGUGGUAACUUUCCAAUUUGGUAAUCCAUGGCAAAAGGAUCUAAGAACUUUAAGCUCUACCAAGGGUGCUGUAAAUACACACAGAAAGAUGCACGUUGUGUCUAGAAAGGAAGCACAUUACCUGCCCCUUGCUUGAUGACAGGAGCGGAUGGAGGAGGCGGCUUCUUGGGUCUCUGAAAAAUUAAUCAAAAUGAUAACACAUGAGAUCGUUGGCAAGCCAACAAGAUCGUUGGCCUGUCACAUAAGGACCACAGACAUUGUUUUCUAGAUGUAGUUUGGACAGUCCAGAGGAGCUCUCCAAAAAUUGAGCAAGUCUCUCUCCGGGGAUGUCAAGUUUUGGCACCUUUAAACCAACACUAAAAUAAAUUCAGUCUGCAAAACAAAACUCUGAUGGACAAAUGAAAUACCAUUUCCCCCUUUCUAAAUUUGUAACAGCCUUCUGGAAAAGCACGGCUCAGCAAAAAUGGCCUGAAACCAGCAAGCACAAUGGUCCUCCUACGCUGAAACCGCAUUUGCAAUUAAGAUUUAAUCUGCUGAAUAACCAAGUGAUUCAGGAGAGUCACUAGGACAGCUCGAAAUCAGAUCUGCUCUGGACUGUGGGACCUUCAGCAAAAGCAGGCCAGGGGGCUUCCAUGGCUGGGAGUCUGUGCCUUCAACCUUCAGCUCCUCCUGACCCCGAGGCUGGCAGGCCAUUCAUGAGGCCCCCCCACAGACCAGUUGCACCCUAGAAAGUGGAAUGGAGCUUUUCUUGCAUAUCAGCUCCGAUUUGUUUUCCUCUCACAACCUGUCACUCUGUAGGUGACAAGGCAGCAAUGCAAUCAGUGGCAUCGGUCCCUGAACCCGUUCCAGGGCCUCUCCUUGCUCACUCACCCAGGACUGACUGUAGGAGGAAGAUGGUCAGGCUGGACUUGGUAAAUGACUCAGGGGUCAAGAGCCCAGCCAGGGCACAAUUCUUGGAAACGAUUCUUGGAGAGGGGAACCAGAGGCAAAGAGAGAACCAUCUCAAUAUCAAAAUCAUUAAGGAGGGACGCCUGCGUGGCUCGGUGGUUGAGCAUCUGCCUUCAGACCAGGCCAUGAUCCCGGGGUCCUGGGAUCGAGUCCCACAUCGGGCUCCCUGCACGGAGCCUGCUUCUCCCUCUGCCUGUGUCUCUGCCUCUCUCUCUCUCUCUCUCUGUGUGUGUCUCUCAUGAAUAAAUAAAAAAAAAUCUUUAAAAAAAUCAUUAAGGAAAGAUGGAAAUAGGACAAGAAUACAAUCCAUGUUGCUGCUGAUGUUUCUCUUGACCCUCUCUGGGCAUCACACACCGAUGAUUUUUUUAAAAACAGCUUCACAGACUUUCUUGCACUCGGAAAAUGUACCACUAUGACAUUACCGCAAGGACCAGCCAAAGCACCCACCAGUCCCUGGCCCUGACCUGCUGGCAACUGCUCCAGUACUAGAGCACAUGAAGAAAUGAUUUCAAGUAAAAGCUGGAGAAUACGAGACUCAUAAAGAACUUUUUCAGGAGGCAUCCCAGCAUGUGGACUCUGGAUUCUGGGACAUGCCACCUCUGCUCUUCAGUAGCUGGGUGACAUGGCGAAGUUACCUUGAAUAAGUAGUGUAGCAUCGUGGCUGUGAGGUGGGGCUUCUGAGACUGAUGGAUUACAAAUGCUGGCUCCUUCGAUUCUUGGCCGUGGACACUGGGCAAGUGAACUGAUCUAGCUAAGCCUCCUCACUUGUAAAAUGGCAAUGGUAUUACCUCCCUCUUGAGAGGAGGUGGAGUCAGUAAGCACUGCCCUGUUGAAUCUUUGUGACAAUCAUGUAAGUAGUGAUGUUACUAUGCCCAUUUUGCAGAUGAAGUGAUUGAGCCUCAAAGAGAUGAAGCCAUUUCUCAAAGUCACGAGGAUGGGGGGCUGGGAGCCCAGCCCCAUGCUGUCUGACCCACAGGCGUGCUCUUAACCACUGUGAAGGACCCGCCUUGCCAGAGAGCAUCCACAAGACGGACCACCACAUGGCCAUAUACCACACAGAGAGUGUACAUAAGCACAGGGAACUGUAUCAUGUGUAAGUUGGGGGGAAAAAAGGGUAUCAAAUUGCAGCUACAGUAUGAGCUCAAAUCAACUAUGUUACAAAAUAUACAGAAAGAAAAAAAUUGGAAAGGAAAAAAAUAAAAUAAAAUAAAUAAAAAUAAAAAAAAAGAA